rnacentral:rRNA from 1 species
CUUCCACAAUGGGCGAAAGCCUGACGGAGCAACGCCGCGUGGGUGAAGAAGGUCUUCGGAUCNUAAAACCCUGUUGUUAGAGAAGNNNNNNNGNGAGAGUAACUGUUCACGUUUCGACGGUAUCUAACCANNNANANCCGGCUAACCACGUGCCAGCAGCCGCGGUAAUACGUAGGUCGCAAGCGUUAUCCGGAUUUAUUGUGCGUAAAGGGAACGCAGGCGGUCUUUUAAGUCUGAUGUGAAAGCCUUCGGCUUAACCGGAGUAGUGCAUUGGAAACUGGGAGACUUGAGUGCAGAAGAGGAGAGUGGAACUCCAUGUGUAGCGGUGAAAUGCGUAGAUAUAUGGAAGAACACCAGUGGCGAAAGCGGCUCUCUGGUCUGUAACUGACGCUGAGGUUCGAAAGCGUGGGUAGCAAACAGG